CCUACGGGAGGCAGCAGUGGGGAAUUUUGGACAAUGGGGGAAACCCUGAUCCAGCCAUGCCGCGUGAGUGAAGAAGGCCUUCGGGUUGUAAAGCUCUUUCAGCCGGAACGAAACGGUCACGGCUAAUACCUGUGAUCACUGACG
rnacentral:rRNA from 1 species